rnacentral:rRNA from 1 species
AUUGAACGCUGGCGGCAUGCUUUACACAUGCAAGUCGAACGGUAACAGGGUGCUUGCACCGCUGACGAGUGGCGAACGGGUGAGUAAUGCGUCGGAACGUGCCGAGUAGUGGGGGAUAACGCAGCGAAAGUUGUGCUAAUACCGCAUACGUACUGAGGUAGAAAGUGGGGGACCUUCGGGCCUCACGCUAUUCGAGCGGCCGACGUCUGAUUAGCUAGUAGGUGAGGUAAAGGCUCACCUAGGCGACGAUCAGUAGCGGGUCUGAGAGGAUGAUCAGUCACACUGGAACUGAGACACGGUCCAGACUCCUACGGGAGGCAGCAGUGGGGAAUAUUGGACAAUGGGCGAAAGCCUGAUCCAGCCAUGCCGCGUGUGUGAAGAAGGUCUUCGGAUUGUAAAGCACUUUAAGUUGGGAGGAAGGGUCGUUACCUAAUACGUGACGAUUUUGACGUUACCGACAGAAUAAGCACCGGCUAACUCUGUGCCAGCCGCCGCAGUAA